rnacentral:rRNA from 1 species
CACGUAGUUAGCCGGUGCUUAUUCUUCCGGUACCGUCAUCCGCCACGGGUAUUAACCACGGCGUUUUCUUUCCGGACAAAAGUGCUUUACAACCCGAAGGCCUUCUUCACACACGCGGCAUUGCUGGAUCAGGGUUGCCCCCAUUGUCCAAAAUUCCCCACUGCUGCCUCCCGUAGGAGUCUGGGCCGUGUCUCAGUCCCAGUGUGGCUGGUCGUCCUCUCAGACCAGCUACAGAUCGUCGCCUUGGUAGGCCUUUACCCCACCAACUAGCUAAUCUGCCAUCGGCCGCCCCUGUAGCGGGAGGUCCUAAGAUCCCCCCCUUUCUCCGUAGAGCGUAUGCGGUAUUAAUCCGGCUUUCGCCGGGCUAUCCCCCAUACAGGACACGUUCCGAUGUAUUACUCACCCGUUCGCCACUCGCCACCAGGGUUGCCCCCGUGCCUGCCGUUCGACUUGCAUGUGUAAGGCAUGCCGCCAGCGUUCAAUCUGAGCCAGGAUCAAACUCU